GCUGUGACCGCACCAGCAUGUCAUCCCUGCCAACAUCCCUUCUGCUUGGCAGACAAGAGUUCCCGUGUCACCUGGGAAUGUAGGGCCAAUUUUCUGAGAGAAGGGUCACCUGGGAGGGCCAGGCUGGUUCCAGGGAGGAGGGCUGGAGCAGCUCAGGAGAGGUUCCUGGGAAGAAGCUUUGCACUUUGGAUCACUGUAAUCUCUGCCUCCAUUCAGGGCCAUUCCAACGGUAAUCGGAAGUAUGAGUCUGACGAAGACAGCCUGGGCAGCUCCGGACGGGUCUGUGUAGAGAAGUGGAAUCUCCUCAACUCCUCCCGCCUCCACCUGCCGAGGGCUUCGGCCGUGGCCCUGGAAGUGCAAAGGCUUAAUGCUCUGGACCUCGAAAAGAAAAUUGGGAAGUCCAUUUUGGGGAAGGUCCAUCUGGCCAUGGUGCGCUACCACGAGGGUGGGCGCUUCUGCAAGAAGGGCGAGGAGUGGGACCAGGAGUCGGCCGUCUUCCACCUGGAACACGCGGCUGACCUGGGCGAGCUGGAGGCCAUUGUGGGCCUGGGACUCAUGUACUCGCAGCUGCCCCAUCACAUUCUAGCCAACGUCUCUCUGAAGGAGACUCAAGAGAACAAAACCAAAGGAUUUGAUUACUUACUGAAGGCCGCUGAAGCUGGCGACAGGCAGUCCAUGAUCCUAGUGGCGAGAGCUUUUGAUGCAGGCCAGAACCUCAGCCCAGACAGGUGCCAAGACUGGCUGGAGGCCCUGCACUGGUACAACACUGCGCUGGAAAUGACGGACUGUGAUGAGGGCGGUGAGUACGAUGGAAUGCAAGAUGAGCCACGGUACACACGCUGCUGGCCAGGGAGGCUGAGAUGCUGUUCACGGGAGGCUAUGGGCUGAAGAAGGACCCUCAGAGAUCAGGGGACUUGUAUACUCAGGCAGCAGAGGCAGCGAUGGAAGCCAUGAAGGGCCGGCUGGCCAACCAGUACUACCAAAAGGCCGAAGAGGCCUGGGCCCAGAUGGAGGAAUAACCAAGAAAAUCACUGCCGGCUAGUCCCAAGCAAAAGGACUAGGAGGAAAAGAAAAAAGAAAAAAAAAAAAAAAAGCACUUAUUCAGUUUGGGGAGGGGAAGCAUUUUUAGUGUGUUGUAAAUCAAAUUUUGAAUUUCAUUUUUUGACUCUUGAAAAUGUCUUUGCUACUCGGCUGCUACCAGCAGAGAGUCUCUAGCUGUCUCUCAGGGCAGUAUUUUGGGGGGAAGUAGGACUUGAAAAGGCAACCUAAUGAACCAACAUACUGUUAUGUGGUUUUUUUUUUGGGAGGGAGCCCCUCUCUUUCACUCAAGCUGGAGUGCAAUGGCACAAUCACAGCUCACUGCAACCUCCGCCUCCCAGGUUCCAUCGAUUCUACUGCCUCAGCCUCCCAAGUAGCUGGGAUUACAGGCUCCCACUACCACACACAGGUAAUUUUUGUAUUUUUAGUAGAGAUGGGGUUUCACCAUUGCUGGCCAGGCUGGUCUCAAACUCCUGAUCUCAAGUGGUUUCCCCACCUCCGCCUCCCAAAGAUGAACCACCGUGCCUGCCCAUUUUGUGGUUCUAUUUCCUUUUUUUUUUUUUUUGGUCGCAAGAUAUAAGAAAGUGCUUUUUGCCCUGAAUGGACAAUAAUAGGGUUCUGCUCACUAGUCUUUUCGGGGUAGACUGAAAUCUCAGGCCCACAGAGCCCUGUGUUUUGUGCAUUGGGAUGAGAAAUGAAGCAUUGGCUUUCCUAAGUCACGGGGUGUGUAUUGCCGUGACUUACUGCAAAUCAUGCUUUCUCAGAGCAUUUAGUGGCAUGCAUGGCAUUUUUUCAGUGGGUGUGAGAUUGCACAAUACCCAGGCUCCCUUCUACCAUGGGGAAGGGCCUGCGUAUUGACUGUUUUCUAAACUUUUAAUUUCCUUCCAUAAUGCUACUGAUUUUCUGGCAUAUAGCUGAAUUCCGUUUUUUAAGCAUGUUUUCUACGGUGGGCUUUAAAAAGCAGGUUUGAACUUUGUAUGCACACAUUUACUACCUCUAACUCCUACAUCAGCUAGCGUGGAAGAGGGUGCACCUCAGAGAUUUUACAUGUAAGGACGGCGGCUUGGAAUGUCGGACCCUUUCCUUCGAGCAGACUCGCACUCUGCAUCUCCAUGGCAGCUUCUACAACGUGACUGCAGUGUCUCUUGUGCAGUAUUCCUGGGUGUUUUCUUAGCAUCUGGAUGUUCUUACAUCGGAUCUGUUCCCCAGCCCUGGUCUUUGGCAUUUUCUGCUUGAAGCUGGUCUGAUUUUCUUGUAAUUUGCAGCAGGACGCUUUCAGCAGCAGUCCUUUGGGAUUUUGUCUAAGCUGUUGAGGAUAAGAGGGCAAGAACUAUAAACAGUCAUUAAUUUCAGUAGUCUCCCCAGGGCCAGACAAUGGUGAUCGUUAUUUAAUGAGCUUUUCCUUUAAAUGGAAUUCAGUUCCAUCUCAUAUUAGUAUGACUUCAUUUGGUGUUUCAAAUAGCAAAGAUGCUGAGUGCAGUGGCUCCCGCCUGUAAUUCCAGCACUUCGAGGAGGGCGAGGUGGGAAGAUCCCUUGAGCUCAGGAGUUCAAGACCAGCCUGGGUAAACAUGGCGAAACCCUGUCUCUACCAAAAAAAAAAAAAAAAAAAAAAAAAAAAACUGCUUUGAUCAACCCUAAAUGCUAAAGCAGCCUCUUUGUCUUUGUUUAAAAGUCAAAACAUAAAAAAAGCAGAGUAUAACAUGCAAACCAUUCUUUACUGUUCAUUAAAAUGAGUCCUUCAACACCUUAGUGGGGUUUGUUGUUGUUAGCAGAGAGAUUCUUUUCUUUUUAUUAUUUUAUAUUUUUGAAAUAGAGACCGGGUCUCACUGUAUUGCCCAGGCUAGUCUUGAACUCCGGGGCUCAAGUGAUCCUCCUGCCUCAGCCUCCCAAAGUGCUGGGAUUACAGGUGGAGCCACUGUGCCCAGCCUACACUUCAGUGUUGACUGCUUUGAAGGCAUGAAUUCAUGCACGCGUUAGUUCCAACGUUCAGUGCAUACCCUUAAAUGAACAAUCAAGCAGGUAAAAUUACCCUUGAAAAAAAUCUCUUAGAUGACCCAUAAAUGACAGUGACUUUUUAAAUAUGGAUUUAUCAUAGCCAGUUUUCCUUUAGAAGUUGGAACUGAUCACCAUUUGUCAUCUAUACCAGAUCAGUAGUUGGCUUGUGUUACAUUUUGUGUGUGAGAGACUGUGUGUGUGUGUGUGUGUGUUCUAAACCAGUGCAUACAGUUAAAUUGUAUAUGUUAAAUGUAAGAAGUAACUUUAUGAUGAUUUUUCUCUUCACAGUAAUCAAGCUUCAUGUAAUUCAUGCUUUUUAAAUUCAGCCAGCCCCCCAGCCUCUGAAAUUGUAUUAUGUAAAUAAUUUGAGUUCCCUGAUCACUGUUUAAUUUCUUAGUUGUAUGUCAUCUCUUCUCUAGCAGAGAUUGUAAAGGGGUAGAAAGUGAAGAUUUUAGGCUCUGCAGGCCAUAUGGCCUCUGCUGCAAAUGCUCAACCCUGCUGUUGUAGUGUAAAAGCUGCCACAGACACUACGUGAACAUGAAUGAGUGUGGCUGGUGUUCCAAUAAAACUUUAUUUACAAAAACAGGUGCCCUCGUGGGCUGUAGUUUGCCAACCCUGCUCUAACCCUUGACUGACAGCUACUUUAUUAAGCUUGAGGGCAGGAGCUAUCUCAAUUUUGUGCCCCCCAGGACUCAAAAAUACACAGUGCUUUGGCAUAGAGUAGGCACUCAGCAAUUGUGUGAACCGUUGUAGAGCUAGCCCUAGUCAGUGCAAUCACCUUUUGAGGCUUUGGUUUCUCCAGACAAUUAACGAUUCAUUGUCUGGAUUGGCUGGAGCCAUCACCCCUGCAGUUCACUCCCCACCCACCCAGGUGACCUUAAUGUCUGUUGCUGGUCUGUUGCUCUUCCCGGAGGCAGAGGUGGUCUGGAUAUAGACCUAAGCAAAUACUUCUUUAAGGGCCCUUAAGAGUGAAAAAGUAACUUGCAAGAAGUUGAGAUCCUUCUGAGCUAGGAGAAGAACUUAUUCCACCUUGAAAACCUACUUUGGGCAGGGCAUGGUGGCUCACACCUGUAAAUCCCUGCACUUUAGGAGGCUGAGGUGGGCGGAUUAACUGAAUUCAGGAGUUUGAGACCAUCCUGGGCAACAUGGUGAAGAACUGUUUCUGCUAAAAAGAAAGCCAGGUGUAGUGGUGCACACCUGUAGUCCCAGUCCCAGCUAUUCAGGAGGCUGAAGCAGGAGAAUCACUUAAACCCAGGAGGCAGAGGUUGCAGUGAGCCAAGAUUGCACCACUGCAUUCCAGCCUGAGUGACAGACUCCAUCUCAAAAACAAAAAAAGGAAAGAAACAAAACCUAGUUUUGUGCCUUUUGAAGAUAGUUAGGGCAUCUUCUUUUUCCACAAAUGCUGGACAUGACAAAAAACAAACCCCAAACCCAGGACAUUCCAUUCCAACUGGGAAGAUAUCAGAGACUAUUUUCAAGUGCAAGAAGCAGGUAAAACUCCAGGAAGUUGGCAGAGCUAGGAUUAUCAUCCAGUGCCUUCAUUUCACAAAUGGAGAAACCAAGGUUCUGCCAGUUAGAUUUUUUUCCCACCAUGUUACUGCUAGCAAAGCAGUAAGCUGGAGCUGGGAUUUAAGAGCUGCUGCUAUUUAGAGGAGCUUGGGAAUAAAAUUUAAAGUGAAACUGGAGUUUAAUGACUUUCAGUUUUGCUGUAGGUAAGAGAAAAAAAAUGAAUGAAUGGACAGAUGGCUUUAUGGGUAAGAAAGAAGAGAAAAAAAAAACUCCCAAACCCCAGUCUUCCUGAAUUUCUCUUCUCCCCUUGACCAAAGGCACUGUGGGAAUUUAUCAUCUUCAAACACAACCUUGACCUCCAAGCCAAGUAAACUGUCUUGUUGCUAUUUUAGUGGCUUUUUUUUUUCUAUUAAGACACAAGGUCUCACUUUGUUACCUAGUCUGGGCUGUGGCACGAUCAUAGCUCAUUAUAGGCUCAGCCUCCUGGGCUCCAGUGAUCCUCCUGUCUCAGCCUCUCCAGUAGCUAAAACUAUAGCAGUGCACCAUCAUGCCUGGCUAAUUUUUUUAAAUUUAUUUUUUUGAGACAGAAUCUCGCUCUGUCACCCAGGCUGGAGUGCAGUGUUCACUGCAACCUCUGCCUCCCUGGUUCAAGCAAUUCUCCCUGCCUCAGCCUCCUGAGUAGCUGGGACUCCCUGCCUCAGCCUCUCCUGAGUGCCUGACACCACUCCCUGCUAAUUUUUGUAUUUUUAGUAGAGAAGGGGGUUUCACCAUAUUGGCCAGGCAGGCCUCGAACUCCUGACCUCAGGUGAUCUGCCACCUCGGCCUCCCAAAGUGCUGGGAUUACAGAUGUGAGCCACAGUGCCUGGCCAUGCCUGGCUAAUUUUUUUAAAUUACUCUUUGGAGAGACAGGAUCUGUGUUGCCCAGGCUGGUCUUGAACUCCUUGGCCUCAAGUGAUUCUCCCACCUCAGCCUCCGAGAGUGUUGGGAUUACAGGUGUGAGCCAUCGCUCCUGGUCCUGUUUCCAUGGCUUAAUUUCCUUUCAUCCCAGCACGUUUGUCUGCAGUACUAGACAUAUUUUACAAAUCAACAAAUGUUUACACAAGUAUUUGCAGCUUGUUUUGGAGAGAGGAGACAAAAUAUACGUAUUCUCUGCGGGGAUUUGUGCCUCUUAAUUGUUUUUAGUCCCAUAGUUAACCCUUUAGCCUACUCCAAGGUGGGGCUCAGAGAAGUGGCCUCCCAGAAGUAUUUUGGGAUAUGUACUAAGUUCCAUUUUCUCUUUACAAAUAAAGUGUUUUCUCUCUU